rnacentral:lncRNA from 1 species
GGGCGGUAUGAUAUGUUUUCUUCAGUAAUAAUAAGCAGGCGUGUUACGUCGUAUUCUCUGGAAUGUCUGAAUUGUGAUUUCACUUAAUAGCUGACACCAAUGCCACCAGCAAUAAGCACCAAAUGCUGCUGCAUCAAAUCAGCAUUGUAUGGGCUGAUAUAUAAAGUAUAACCCCGUGUAAUAUUAACGAAUGUCGCAUUCCUUGCUUUUUCUGUAACGAACUUGAUUUCUUCCCAUGGGAGUUUCUUAGCCUUUUAGCUUAAUGUGUAGCCACUAUUUAUGUGCACAUGUCCACUCUCAACGCUGUUUUUGUGGUAGAGGUGAUGGGAUCAAAUGAGUCGCCAUUUGUGAACUGCGGGCCACCUGUUGCAUGUAAGCUCCACAAUAUGUCGAAUCAGAACCAAGAUCUCUAACUAGAAACCAAUUUACUGAAUUAAAACCAUUUUUGUUUACUGGUGUUGUCUUUUGCAGCCUGUGAUACUUCCAAUUCAGAUCAUAAGAAUCAGUCAGCUGGUCAUCCUGAGUGUUCCUGCAGGUAUAUCCCAAUUCGUCAAUCCUAGGAUGGCGGUUUUUCUCUCUCUCGAGAUGUG